GGAGAUUUGAUGAUCACCACUUUCGUUGGAGUCUUCAACUCAUCCCAAGCAGCAUUUACCACAUCUUUACCGGAUUCUGCCAUGAUCGCGCAGCGGAAUUUGAUCAGCAACAGCCGGAAAAAUGGAUCAGCAACAAAUCUCCCCGAUCAGCAACCGCAAUUGAAUUCAAAUCCAGCGACUGAUACCAUAUGCAUGUUAUAAUCAGAAUGCGUUUGGGAAAUGGGGGAGAACAAAUGUUCGAUCCCUCCUAAAAUGUUAUUAAUUCACUUAUAUACAAUUUAGGAGGAUUGAGACUUAACAGAACGAUAACCGUUUCUGUUAAGUCUUACCCAAUUAGAAAGUUCUAGAAUUAUAUCCUAGCUUAAAGGAGUUAUAAAAGUAAUUAAACUAAUUACAUAAAAGUCCCUUAUUAUAUCACUAAUAAUAUUGCUAGCAAAUAAAUUUACAUUGGAAUUCCCAAAUUGACCUAGUAAAAAUAAAAGCCAUGGCAAUUUUAGCUAAAGCAAUCUAAAAAAAAUACACCUUUCGAUAUUUGAAGAAACAGCAUUAGAAUCAAAAGCAUCAUUAGACCCUUUCCUUGUAAGGCUAGGUACCAAUGCCUGAACUGCCUCGACUGAUGGUCCAUUGGUAAAGAACGAAUCAUAUAUUUGUUCUUUUGCAAUUAAACAAAAAUGUGGCAGCCAAUUUGAAGCAAUAUCUGUAAAAGAAAAUGUUAUAUUUUUAAAGUUUGUUUGUGUUAAUUGAUACAAAAUAUUAAACUGGCCAUGUAAAACUGUCUUUUUUAUGAAUUAAAGUUUUCAUUGUCGAAAGUAGAGUAGGGCAGGGCCCAAGAUUACAUAUGUAGGGAAAUGCAGAUACAUAGGAUAUAAAUAUUUAAGUAAAAACAUGUAAAACAUUGUCGCUCUCUUAUAUAGUUG
rnacentral:lncRNA from 1 species